rnacentral:rRNA from 1 species
UACGUAGGGGGCAAGCGUUGUCCGGAAUCAUUGGGCGUAAAGCGCGUGUAGGCGGCCAGAAAAGUCCGCUGUGAAAACUCGAGGCUCAACUUCGAGCUGUCGGUGGAAACUUUCUGGCUAGAGUCCGGAAGAGGAGAAUGGAAUUCCUGGUGUAGCGGUGAAAUGCGCAGAUAUCAGGAAGAACACCCGUGGCGAAGGCGGCGUUCUGGACUGCAACUGACACUGAAAGACGAAAGCCAGGGGAGCAAACGGG